rnacentral:rRNA from 1 species
AUUGAACGCUGGCGGCAUGCUUUACACAUGCAAGUCGAACGGCAGCGCGGGCUUCGGCCUGGCGGCGAGUGGCGAACGGGUGAGUAAUGCAUCGGAACGUGCCCAGUAGUGGGGGAUAGCCCGGCGAAAGCCGGAUUAAUACCGCAUACGACCUGAGGGUGAAAGCGGGGGACCGAAAGGCCUCGCGCUAUUGGAGCGGCCGAUGUCGGAUUAGCUAGUUGGUGGGGUAAAGGCUUACCAAGGCGACGAUCCGUAGCUGGUCUGAGAGGACGACCGGCCACACUGGGACUGAGACACGGCCCAGACUCCUACGGGAGGCAGCAGUGGGGAAUUUUGGACAAUGGGGGCAACCCUGAUCCAGCCAUGCCGCGUGCGAGAAGAAGGCCUUCGGGUUGUAAACCGCUUUUGUUCGGGAAGAAAUCCUCUGGGCUAAUACCCCGGGGGGAUGACGGUACCGGAAGAAUAAGCACCGGCUAACUACGUG